rnacentral:rRNA from 1 species
UACGGGGGGAGCAAGCGUUGUUCGGAAUUACUGGGCGUAAAGGGCGCGUAGGUGGCCUUCUAAGUCGAACGUGAAAUCCCUGGGCUCAACCCAGGAACUGCGUCCGAGACUGGGAGGCUUGAAUCCGGGAGAGGGAUGCGGAAUUCCAGGUGUAGCGGUGAAAUGCGUAGAUAUCUGGAGGAACACCGGUGGCGAAGGCGGCAUCCUGGACCGGGAUUGACACUGAGGCGCGAAAGCCAGGGGAGCAAACGGG